rnacentral:rRNA from 1 species
CACGUAGGGCGCAAGCGUUGUCCGGAUUUAUUGGGCGUAAAGAGCUCGUAGGCGGCCUGUCGCGUCGACCGUGAAAACCCGCAGCUCAACUGCGGGCUUGCGGUCGAUACGGGCAGGCUGGAGUUCGGUAGGGGAGACUGGAAUUCCUGGUGUAGCGGUGAAAUGCGCAGAUAUCAGGAGGAACACCGGUGGCGAAGGCGGGUCUCUGGGCCGAUACUGACGCUGAGGAGCGAAAGCGUGGGGAGCGAACAGG